rfam:Ricinus communis cultivar Hale ctg_1100012362066, whole genome shotgun sequence.
AGUCUAUGGUGCAGGCAACACCAGAGCAAAUCUUUAUACCUUUCCCAAGCAUCGUACAUACUCUCGUCAUCGAAAUGCACAAAAAAAGAUAUAUCAUUUCUCAAUUU